rnacentral:tRNA from 1 species
GCGCCCGUAGCUCAAUAGGAUAGAGUAACUGGCUACGAACCAGGAGGUUGGAGGUUCGAGUCCUCCCGGGCGCGCCA